AAAAGUUCUGGGAUUACAGGUGUGAGCCACCGCGCCCAGCAUUUAAAAUUUUAAUAUGCACUUUUUGCAACCCAGAACUCAUUGUUCAGUAUGAGUUUUGAUACAUAUAAGAAGGGAUAUU
ensembl:snoRNA